rnacentral:rRNA from 1 species
UACGGAGGGUGCAAGCGUUAUCCGGAUUCACUGGGUUUAAAGGGUGCGUAGGUGGGCAGGUAAGUCAGUGGUGAAAUCUCCGGGCUUAACCCGGAAACUGCCAUUGAUACUAUCAGUCUUGAAUACCGUGGAGGUAAGCGGAAUAUGUCAUGUAGCGGUGAAAUGCUUAGAUAUGACAUAGAACACCAGUUGCGAAGGCAGCUUACUACCCGAAUAUUGACACUGAGGUGCGAAAGCGUGGGGAGCAAACAGG